rnacentral:rRNA from 1 species
UGCAAGUCGAGCGGACAGAAGGGAGCUUGCUCCCGGAUGUUAGCGGCGGACGGGUGAGUAACACGUGGGUAACCUGCCUGUAAGACUGGGAUAACUCCGGGAAACCGGAGCUAAUACCGGAUAGUUCCUUGAACCGCAUGGUUCAAGGAUGAAAGACGGUUUCGGCUGUCACUUACAGAUGGACCCGCGGCGCAUUAGCUAGUUGGUGAGGUAACGGCUCACCAAGGCGACGAUGCGUAGCCGACCUGAGAGGGUGAUCGGCCACACUGGGACUGAGACACGGCCCAGACUCCUACGGGAGGCAGCAGUAGGGAAUCUUCCGCAAUGGACGAAAGUCUGACGGAGCAACGCCGCGUGAGUGAUGAAGGUUUUCGGAUCGUAAAGCUCUGUUGUUAGGGAAGAACAAGUGCAAGAGUAACUGCUUGCACCUUGACGGUACCUAACCAGAAAGCCACGGCUAACUACGUGCCAGCAGCCGCGGUAAUACGUAGGUGGCAAGCGUUGUCCGGAAUUAUUGGGCGUAAAGGGCUCGCAGGCGGUUUCUUAAGUCUGAUGUGAAAGCCCCCGGCUCAACCGGGGAGGGUCAUUGGAAACUGGGAAACUUGAGUGCAGAAGAGGAGAGUGGAAUUCCACGUGUAGCGGUGAAAUGCGUAGAGAUGUGGAGGAACACCAGUGGCGAAGGCGACUCUCUGGUCUGUAACUGACGCUGAGGAGCGAAAGCGUGGGGAGCGAACAGGAUUAGAUACCCUGGUAGUCCACGCCGUAAACGAUGAGUGCUAAGUGUUAGGGGGUUUCCGCCCCUUAGUGCUGCAGCUAACGCAUUAAGCACUCCGCCUGGGGAGUACGGUCGCAAGACUGAAACUCAAAGGAAUUGACGGGGGCCCGCACAAGCGGUGGA